rnacentral:lncRNA from 1 species
AUCAAACAUACAUCAAAUAUGACGAUGAAUGAAGCAAUACAAAGCCUGUGCCCAACGCUCAGUCUAGGAAAGUGGGUGAUCACCCCGGCGUCCACCCUCCCUCCACUUCGCAGGCUGCCGUCUCUGGACCUCGUGUGCCUUCCCCGUGGCUCUGCGCCACGCCUUCCCAUCCCCAGCCACACCCGGCUCACCUUUGAGCUCGACGCCAUGGCCACUGUCUCCCGCACACGGGCCUUAGGGCCCCACUCCUCCUCCUGACAUUGAGUUCCUGAGAUUCCACCUGAGUGGCUGUGAGCACUGUGGUCAUUCUCGCUGCCAGGCUGUGUCUGUUCUAUGAAAUCACAGUUCCACUCUGCUGGUGGGGGCAGCAGUGGCUUCCGGACUCUCCUUCUUUCUUUCUUCUUUAUUUUUGAGACAGAGUCCUACUCUGUUGCCCAGGCCGGAGUGCAGUGGCACAAUCUCGGCUCACUGCAACCGCCACCUCCCGGGUUCAAGCAAUUCUCCUGCCUCACCCUCCCGAGUAGCUGAGAUUACAGGUGGGUGCCACCAUGCCCGGCUAAUUUUUGUAUUUUCAGUAGAGACGGGGUUUCACCAUGUUGGCCAGGCUGGUCUCGUGUGAUGCGCCCGCCUCGGCCUGGGGUUCCUGUUCUUGCUCAGGGCCGCUGCUGCUGGCUGCCUCCUGGUUUCCAGCUGUGCCCGAAUCAGCUCGCCCCACUUCAAUGGUGGCAAGGUGCCCUUCCUGGGGGCGGGCAGCCCAGGACCCACAGCCGGGACCCUGUAGGCUCCAGCAGCUCUGUGUGAGCAGCCCUGGCCCCUGGCCCUGUGCUGGAGGCAGCGUCCUCCCCACUCCGAUGUCACAGAGGAAACAAAUGCAAACCGUUCAGCAGUGGCCCCCGAAUAACUCAGCCUGAGUGGAACCCGAGGGUUCUUUGCAGGACUUAAGUGGCGCCGUUUCUGUCAGACAGAAAAUAAACUAAGUUUAUGGUAUUUGGAAAGCAUCAGAGUUCAGCAAGAUCACGGCACCCAGGACCACUUGAGAGCUGCAGUGAUUGAGGGCUGGGCAGAGGCGACGCAGCUGGGGACAGGCCAGGAAUGUCGGCCCCAUCCAGGGAGCACAGGGCGCCCCUCCCAGGGCCUUGGAGGAAAUUCAACCCUGUCAAGCUUGGAGGCCUUCGGCGCAUUUAGCCGUUGAAGGAAGUACCCACCGUGGUGUGCUCCAACCAGCAUUUUCACAUUCACAGUGAGGCCAGCUCGCUCCUGCUCCCACCAGCCCAUCGCAGGUCAGAGAAAAGCCAGACGCCCUGCUCCACAUCUCUCUCAUACUUCUCCGCUCUUCACAACAGGCAGCCUGGCCAGCCCCUUCUCACCUCCCUGGGCACUGCGGCUGCACCCCCAGGCCUGGCAAGGUCACGGUGACCUCCACACCAGCCCAUGCAAUUCCAGGCUUCCCAUUGCCCCUGAGAAGGUCAAAGCCCCGGGUUGCUCAGCCAGGCCGCUCCCUCCACCAUCCCCUCUUGGUUCCCUUUGGCUCACUCACCUGCGCCCGGCCCCUGGCUCUGUGGCCUGCGCUCCAGGCCUGCUCCUGCCCCAGGGCCUUUGCGCUCCCCACCCCCACCUGGAUGGCCACACACGCCCUCACCCUUCAAGAGGCUCACCCCGUGCUCAACGUAAAAUCCCACCAGAGCCCCGGCCUCCAGCCUGCUGCUCUGCCUCUCCCACCCCCACCCCCGGCUUGCUCUUUGCACCCCUGCCCUGCUCUCCUGCUGGCUGGGGCUCCUGGGGCAGGGGUUCUGGGUGUGGGUUUGCUGUUUCACCGCCUCAUCUCGGGACCCAGAACUGUAGACGCACACAGGGCUCCAUGUGUGGCCUUUAUGGAGCUUGAAUUCAUUGCACUCAGCAGAGGGGAAGGCAGGUGAUGAGCGGGCGUCGUCCAAAGCCUCAGAGCUGUGGGUGAGUCUCCAAAUGGUUUUGUUUGAACGUAACAUUAAAAGUCUAAGUUGUGGCUUGGGCUGAAUUAGAAGCUACAGCACCACACACACAUGCACACAUAAGCAGACACCACACACACGCACACAUGAACAUAUGCCACACACAAGAACAUACCCCACACACACGCACACAUGCACAGACACUACACAUCUAUGAACAUACCACGUGCACACAGGAUACACCACACACACGCACACACGUGCACACUCCCCCCGUGGGCUCCUGGCAGCAGGGGCUGUUCCCAUCACUCUGGUGCUUGCCCCUGCUGGGGAACCGUCCAGUUGUCACCAACUCACUUCUAAGCCAUGUAUCAGGGCUUCCCAGCCUCAGCUCCAGACUGCACGCUCAGCUUCUCCAUGUCCAGCCCGGCAUGCAGGGCAUGACGUGUGACAGGGCUCAGCCCCUCCAUGUCCCUUCUUUCCCCCGUGUCUAGGCUGUCCUUGCCAGGCAGUGGACUUUCGCUCUUGCCCUGCUCAGCCGCUUCCCUCCUCCUUCCCAUAAAACAUGGGGCUCAGCCCGGCAGGAACUCCCUAAGUAGCUGGGUGGAGUUCCAGCCCUGGAUGAAGGGGAGGGCACAGGACCAGGCUGAGCCAAUCAGCAUGGCAAUAGGCUCAGGGAGAGACACACGGCCCAAUCAGAGCCAGGAGAGGUUGGCUGGGCUCCGGGAGACAGGACGUGAGGCUGGAGUGGCUGCAGCCUCUUGCAGACAGUGGAGGCUCAGGCUAAGCCAGCAAGACCAAGAGGAGCACGGAGAGCUGGCAAGACGCUGGCCCGAUGAUAUCGCCUGAGCCGUGAAUCCUCCUGGCCAACGCCAGGGCUUCCUCAGGCUUUGUCAUUGCAGGGACACUUCCCUCCCUCCCUCCUUCUCUGUCUCUCUCCCCACUGCCUCUCUUUCUAGCUUAAGCCAAUUUGAGAUGGAUUUUCUGUCACUUGCUGUUGAAGGAGUCCUGGUCCAGCCCAGGUGGAUUUCGUGCAAAUGAAACCCACAUAAUGCAAGUCUGUGUGGAAGUGAUCGUCUGCGAUCGGCGCGUGCCCUUCGCCUUAUGAACAGGAGCCAUGGGUGACACGAGCGCCUCGGCUGGGCCGCCGGGGUCCGUCUGAGGUCCAUCUGUCUCCAGGUGUGUGCUGGGUCUGUGGGUGAGAUGCUGCGUGUGCAUGUGUGUGUGCCCAGGUGUGUGUGUGGGAGCUGGAUCCCAGGCCACCCGCACAGUGGGAGAAGGGGGAGCUGGAUCCCAGGCCUGAGAAGGCUCUUUCUGCUUAGAGAGUCCAGGGCUGCCUGGCAUCGAGCCGGCUCUGCCCCGCAGGUCCCAGUGAAUCCACAUUGCAGCAGGAAGCCACAGGGCAGGAACCUCAGCUUUCCGGUUGGCUUCCAUGAACCAAGGACAAGCUUGCUUAAAGUUGUGCCCGGAGAGGCCGGGAGAGCUGCUUCAAAGGCAAAGACCACCCAGUGGGAGUGCAUUCCCCUGGUGCUCACCCAAGGGUCCCACUCCCCCUGAGACAUUUCCUUCCCAGGGCACAGACCCCAGGCCUGGACAGAGCCGGGCACGUGUGAAACGGGAAGAUGUCAGCUGGGGAACCGGCCGCAGCUCCCAACCUUGAUGAGGAAAGAAACCUGGUAGCUGUUCCUGCAGAAAAGCCACAUGGCUCGCCGCCUAUCUCCACGAUGGUACCUGGCUUCUCCCAUCCUCACCGUCCACGUCUACUCCCUUCCCAUCCCAGACCCGAGACGCAGAAGGCUUUAGACAGAGCAGCUUCAUCAGGAAUCUGGACUGGGCUGAGGUACCUGCUCCCAGCUCCUCAAAGUGCCAUCCGGUAAAUCUGCAUCUAUUAGAGCUGACAGCCAGGCUGCUCAGGCUUAAACAAUUAAUAUGCAUGAGGAGUCCGCAAACACAGAGCAGGGGCAUGUUACUGUGCUGGGAUGUAGGACGGCUUCUCGGAUAAGGUCAUUCAUUUUUAUGAUUCUGCUUAAUUUGGAUUUGCCAGUCUUCCUUUCAUUAUCCCAUGGGCCAGUCUUAAUAAUCAAGACUAUGUUAUGUGCUUUGUGGCAUAAUUAAAGCCACUGCCUAAUUAGACAAGCAUCUACCGUCUGACAAAGAGAAAUCAGUAAUGCAGCUAAUGGAGAAAGUGGUGAGGAGUUGGGUUUGAAAGUGGAUGGAAUCACCUGUUGGUGCCAGAACACACACACACAUGCACACAUGUCCACACAUGCACACACAUCUGUGGACACACACACACAUGUACAUACAUCUCACACACACAGAUACAUGCACACAUGUACACACGCAGAUACAUGCGCAUGUACAGGCAUGCACACAUACACACACACACACACUCUCCUACAUUCUAUGUGUGUUUCCGAUGACCAGCCCUGUCAAACCAAACCAAUCAGCAGUGCAGUUUCUGCCGGGAUAGUUGGCCUCUGAGGGGUUAAAGCCAUGCAGGGAAUCCAAGUCUGAGUUUCAAGUGGGCCGGGCUGAGCUUGCUUUUGUUUACUUCUUUAAUCAUCCAUGGACGCUUGCUGGGGCCUGCAAUGGCCAGGCACAUCCACCCACGUGGGACAAGAUGCAGCUUCCGUGGCUGCUUGCAGGGGAUGGAAGACUCCCACAGACGCCUGCUAACAUCACAUGCCCAAGUGUCACCGCGAUGCCACGUCCAGUCUGAGCCAUUCCUCGCCCAUGUCCCUGUCCUUGUUGCAUAGCCGGCCUCCAGCGUGUGGCUUCGUGCAGCGACCAGACCGUCGUGUGACUUUCUGCCACGGUUGCUGGGGUUGGCACUGGGGCAGACCUGCUGGGGGGUUCUGGGUUGCAGCUGGAGCGCUGGGACUGGCAGGACGCCUCUCUUCGUGCUGCCCCAGGGCCCAUCCACGUCGACUCCCGGCGUGAAGCGUGUGGGCUGCCUCACAGCCUGGCAGCUCCAGGACUGCUGGGGGCUCCCCCCGCGGCCCCGGCUCUGCUGGCAGCACUGGGCCAGAAGCAACUCACCUUCACACAGCCGCCCUGAAGGCACGUAGGUUCCGGAAGGGAACCUUGGGAAAUGGGAUUCGUGCCAUACUCAUGGGAGUCCCAAGCUCCCUCGCCCAUUUCACUCCAUGAGGAUAGGAGGGGACAGCUGCUGACGACCUGGCAGAGACCCUGCGCCAGGCCCCACCCCACCGGCACCCUGAUCUUGCACUUCCGGCCUCGAGAAUGCCCCCGCCCGGGAGGGUCUGAGCCAGGCAGCCUCCCCGGGAGCCGGUGCUGACACGGCCAGAGAAACCAUUCCAGACCCGGACCCCACUGUCCCCAACACCUGCGGGCCAGUGACUCAGGGCGGUGGAGAGAGCCAAGAGGAAGUGGAGGCUGAGUGGCCCUCCCCGGGGCUGGGGCCCGCCGUCUGGUUGUGUCUCCAGCCGCUGGUUUAGGGGAAUCGGGAGGGCUCACUUAAGCAUCCCUUCCCUGCGUGCUCUUCCAUCGCGGGACAGAAGACCCGACUGCUGCCAGCACCAAAGGGUGUUCCCACGGCACACGCCGCUUGGGCUCGGGCAGGCAGGGACCCCUCCUCGUGCCUCGGGAGCCUGGAGCUGUCGGCCCUGCAGCUGAGGACCACAGGAGGUCAGGGACAUGCAAGCUCAGUGCCCGAAGUCACUUCUAGAGUGCGAUUCGGUGUCCCUGAAGGUCCCAACUCUGCCCUGACACAUUACAGAAAAUGUCGCUGCCCCCUGGUGUGGAUGCUGGCCCGCCCCCGGGGAGGCUUCUGCCCCAUCACCCAGCCCAGCCCAUCCCAUCCCAACAGGACUCAGCCUCCAGUGGCUACCAUCAGACCCCACGGCAUGGUGACUGUCACUGCAGAGGGCUAGAGAGGGCCGCGUGUGGGACGGCAGGGGCCGACGGGGGGCUCUGCAUUCCCCAGUAACCCAGGUUUCUGCUGGGGCUGCUCCCCAGCUGCUCUGCUCCCCAGCUCCCUACAACGCGGAUUUAUUCUUAUUUCCCACAGGGAAGGCCUAACAAGGCUUGACCAAUCAGUGAAGGGCAUUCCCCAGACUGCUGGCUGUGACUGGGUCCCAGAUAAGCACGUGACCCACUAUGGGCCAAUGAAAGUCGCCUGAGACUUUUGCUUGCAUGGUUGCUGGGACGGUCCAAAGUCCUCAGUGGGGACGGCUGGCUGCAGCUGUCAGACUUGGAGCGUGAGGACAGAGCUGGGCCGGUUCCUCCCUGGGAUCUCCCCUCCCCGAGCACAGGCUCUGCUCUGCCCAGCCCCAUGCUGUCCCCUGUGCGACCGCUGUGGGCUUCCUGCCAGGCUCCUGCACCCUCCGGCUUCUGUUGGGUUCAGUUCUGGGAGGCAGCCCCGGAGUCUGGAGGGUGGAAGGAGUGAGGGGCAUCCCCUGUCCCCUCCCCACAGUCUUGGCAGUGGUUUCUUCUCUCCAGAGUUACUGUCCCUACCCCCUGUCCUCUCUCUGCAGCUCCAGCUCUUGCUGGGCGCCUGUGAUUCUCACCCCUGUCCCUUCAGGCCGUGGGGAGAAGAACAUCCCAGUGCGGUCACUUCCUGGAUCCAAUUCCUGGAUGCCCAGUGUCCGCCGGGUCUCCUGGAUUCACCGUGGUCACUGCCUGGAUGCCCAGUGUCCACUGGGUCUCCUGGAUCCAAUUCCUGGAUGCCCAGUGUCCGCCAGGUCUCCUGGAUUCACUGUGGUCCCUGCCUGGAUGCCCAGUGUCCUCCAGGUCUCCUGGAUUCACUUCCUGAAUGCCCAGUGUCUGCUAGGUCUCCUGGAUCCACUUCCUGGAUGCCCAGUGUCUGCCAAAUCUCCUGAAUUCACUUCCUGGAUGCCCAGUGUCCACCAGGUCUCCUGGAUUCUGCCUGUGUCCACGUGAGGGCACCAUCAAUUUCCUGCAAGGAUCCUGACAGUCAAGGUACAUCUAACCUGAGAGCAGGCAGGGGCUGGACUAUCCCCUAGAUCAAGCCAUGCCUGAAGCCCCACCUUUCAGUUGCCUGAGUCAACAGAUUCCCUUUUUGGGUUGAGCCAUUUCUAAUUGGAUUUUAUGUCUUACUGACUGAACUAUCAGGAUGGCCAGCAGUAAGGGGUUUCGUUUUGGAGGAUGAGGGACACAAAUGUCUCUUCUCCAAGGUGAGGAGAUGCCUGAAGGACAGGAGACACUCACAGGAGGCCCUGGAGACAGAUGUGCCUCACAGGCAUUCCUGAGGACCUGUGGCCUGGCAGCACAGAGACUGGGUGAAAACAGAACCUUGUGAUCUGCAAGUUCUGCCGCUGCCCUGUCUGUGUCUGUGAAGCAAAGUGUCCAGAAGGGGCCCGCGUGGAAGCUUCUGAGAGCGGUUAGGGGAACGGGGCCCCACGUCCUCCCCGGAGGGCUGGAGACAGAGGCAGGCCGUGCCCCCAGCCCAGAGUAGGGAGGAGGCUGGCAGGCGGCAGCUGUGGAAAGGAGGCGGAGCCCCCAGACUCCUGAGCCAGCAGAGGAAGGAGUGGGACAGAGCCCACCCCAGAGGGAGACAAGACCCCGGGGAAGAGACCCCUCAGGGUGGCCCCCCAGCCCCUCCCAGGCUCAGCUUUCAGCCUGCACCCCCGUCUGGUCCCUCAGAAUGACUGAGGUUUCCACUCUUUUUCUGCCAAAUCUCUAGACUCCACGUCCCCGCUCUGCCACCUACUCUCUGUGGGAUCUGAAUAAAGAGACUUAACCUUUCCUGCCUCAGUUUCCCCAUAUGUAAAAUGGGACAAUAAGAGGCUCUGCCUCUAAGCCUUGCUGCAGGGAUUAAGGGAGCGAUGCGUGGUCUGCAGCCAGCCCCCUGCAGCCAGGCCCCUGCAGCCAGCCCCCUGCAGCCAGCCGCCUGCAGCCAGUGGUUCUUCAGUGGCCCCAGGGAAAGGCCAGGCACUGUGGAGACGCUUCCCAGCCACACUCGCUGAGCCGCGCCGGGAUAGGGUCUCUCCACCCAAGCUCCUUUUAGGAAAGUGGUUCCUGGGAAGAUGGAUAAGACCCAGCGUCCACCGGGGUCUGCGUUCUAAGUGGUACGCUUGUGAGGGCUGUUGCACGUGAACAAUUCCCUGUGAUACAUUCCGCAGGCACCGGGGAAGCUCCAGGCUGGGCGUGGAGCCUCAGAGACUGUGGGCAGGGCUCGUGAGGGGCAGGCGAGGGGCCAGGAGGCCUCCUUCGCAUUCGAGCUUCUCAGCCACGUGUGCAGGGGUGGGCUGGGUGUGGGAGUGUGUGUGUCACUGGUGUCAAAGCCUCCUCACUUUUUUUGGGAAAGAAAUGGGAUAUAAAUACAUGUGUAAAUAUCUAUAUAAAAUUCACAUUCUCUAAUUCAGGAGGCAGAGAGCUGUGUGCCUUCAAACCAGAGUAUCUAUAAACUGGGUUUCUAUCAGUGAGGGUAUAGAGCAAAUGCCGGCUCUGUCAAGGUUCAUCCCGAUGUCGUUCUCUGUGACGUAAAAACAAAGCUGGGACUGGCCACUUCUGCCAGACUUUAUCUUGGCAGACAGGUUUCCUACAGCAGCGGCCACCUACACCUGGGGGGAGGCAGCAGGAUGCUGAACCCUCAAAAGGAGAGCAAGAGCCCCCACUGUGCAGCAAGCCCAGGCCUGGGGGUCCCCGAUCCCACAGAGGAGGAAUCAGCUCCACUACAGCAAGCCCAGGCCUGGGGGUCCCACAUCCCACAGAGGAGGAAUCAGCUCCACUACAGCAAGGCCAGGCCUGGGGGUCCCCGAUCCCACAGAGGAGGAAUCAGCUCCACUACAGCAAGCCCAGGCCUGGGGUCCCACAUCCCACAGAGGAGGAAUCAGCUCCACUGCAGCAAGGCCAGGCCUGGGGGUCCCCGAUCCCACAGAGGAGGAAUCAGCUCCACUGCAGCAAGCCCAGGCCUGGGGGUCCCUGAUCCCACAGAGGAGGAAUCAGCUCCACUACAGCAAGGCCAGGCCUGGGGGUCCCCGAUCCCACAGAGGAGGAAUCAGCUCCACUACAGCAAGCCCAGGCCUGGGGGUCCCUGAUCCCACAGAAGAGGAAUCAGCUCCACUGCAGCAAGGCCAGGCCUGGGGUCCCACAUCCCACAGAGGGGGAAUCAGCUCCACUACAGCAAGGCCAGGCCUGGGGUCCCACAUCCCACAGAGGGGGAAUCCAAUGGGACCCCUGCAGCUCUAAGAACAGAAAACCCAAUUCAGAUGUGCUUAAAGAAAAAACUAAAAAUACGUGUGUGCGCGUGUGUGCGUGUGUGUGCGUGUGUGCGUGCAUGCGUGUGUGUGCGUGUGCAUGUGUGUGUGCACGCAUGUGGUAAUUUAUUGCAAAGUCAAGUGGGUCUGUUUUGGGAACAGCUGGAUCUAGGUGUUCAGACACUGGCCCCUUCUUGGGUUUCGUGAGGGACCCUGGAAGCUCCAAGCUCUCCCCUCUUGAUGAUAAGGUUGCUGCAGCUCCCCCAGCUCCCAGCCUUGGUUUCAUCUUGUGGGAAAAGGCUGCCUGUUUUUUUCUCGAUGGCCCGCUGGUAAUUCCAGAAUUCACUCUGACUGGACUGGCUUAAACCACCUGACCAGCCCUGAGCCAACCCCUAGGUCUGGGGUGACCUUCACGCUCUGACUGGUUUAGACCUGGGCGGCGGGAUCUGCAGCUGGGCUGAAAUGGAUCAGAGCGGGGGGUGUGGACUUCCAUCUGGAGCCGGGACAGGACCUCAGGAGGCAAAUGACGACCGUCUGUGACACGCAGGCCCACGUCUGUGCUAGAAAAGCCACCCCUUGAUAUGGGGCGAGGAUGGGACCCGAGAGACCCUCGCCCCACCCUGCACUGGCUCAGCAGCCGGGUCCAGACUCCCAGGCCUCUGGAAAACGAACCUCGGGGGGACGCAGAGGGUCACACAGGGCUUCACCCCCAGCUCGGGUUCAGUCCUGACUCAGAGACGACCCGGCCCCCACGACUGGACCCCACAACGCACAGGGCCCCCGCCGGCCAACAAGACCAAGGUCACGCACAGCGGUGCUGGGAUCCUCCAGAGGACUCCACAGGGGACCGAGGGCCUGCAGGGAUUCGAAAACCAGUGCCGGACGCAGCCUUCCUCCCUUACAGCAAGAGCUAGGAGAUAAAACAGGCAGGCCGGGAGAGCAGGGCCCGGGUCGCGCCUUCCUCACGGCUGGAAGCCUCCCAGGUGACGGGAGGAAUGAUGGGGACGGGGCGGGGUACUUGGAGACCUUCCUCUGUCAGAUGGCUCUGAUGUUUCCACUGUUGCUGUGAGCAGGAAAGGGUUAACUUGGCAGCUGGCUCCUCCACACCCUGAGCGCCCACAUCCGGCCCCUCCUUGCCCCGGAACCUCCUGCCGGAGAGGACAGCCCUGCUCACCUGGCCUUGGCAGCCCCAGCUGGUCUGUGCAAUGGUGGGAUUCACGGUGGGCACUUGGCCUCACGGCAUCAGCCUGACCUCUGGAGGGUGGAGACCAAGGUCAGCCAUGUCCACGAGACCAGCCCAGUGAGGACCAUGGUCACCGAGGCUCGGGGGCUCCUGGCUGGCCUCGCUUGGCACGUGUUGUCACACAUGGGUGCCGGAGAAUCAAGUCCAUGGGACCCCCCCCCAGGAGGGGACACCUGGGAGCUCGCACCUGGCCUCUCCUGGGCCCUGCCUGGGCAUCUCUUCCCUCUGCUGACUUUAACCCAUGUCCUCUGCUGUGAGAACCCACAGCAGGGAAAAGCAGCCUGUCUGGGCUCUGUCUGUCCUUCUAGCAAGUUGUGGACCGUCAAGGUGGUCUCGGGGGUCUUCCUGCCACACAGCUGCCUGGAGGCUCACAGCCAAGAACGGUGCUCACUCCAGCAGUGGGGCUAGCCCUGAGAGCAAACAGAUUUCACCCCCAAAUUCAGGACACACAGGAGCGUUCAAAAACCACACACACACGUGCACACAUGCACACACACGCAUGUACACACGCACACAUAUGCACACACGCACAUGCACGCACACCCACGCACAUGCACGCACACGCACGUAUACACACACACGCACACCCACGCAUGUGUGUGCACACGUGCACACACAGACUCCUGUGCACACAUGCACACAUGCGCACACACCCGCACACAUGCAGGUGCACACGCACACACCCACACCCACCCGCACACAACGCGCGCGCACGCACACACACACACACCGUGCACCCUCAGUGCACAGGCUGGCUAACACACACGAGCCGCUUUCCAAACCGAAGUCAUUCCAGCCCCAUGCCUGUAGCUGGCGCCACAUGAAAACACCACUGUGUUCUUAUUUAUGGAGCAUGUUUCUUUAAACUGGCCUAUUUUAAAACUAAAUGCAUUUUUUAUUUGAAAGGGAAUCUUCAUUUCACCGCUGCAAAUGGAAAGCUGGCAUCACUUGUGUUAAAUCAUGGUAACCAUGAAAAUAAGUAGAAUGAAAAUAAAAUAAUGUUGUCACACUCUGGAUGUGGCUGAGGUGUCCAAGCCUCCAUGCCCAGGCCUCAGCCCUGUUUGUCUAAAGGACUCGGGGAAACCCCCUCCAGGAGGAAUCAGAGCCUCGGGAGCUGGGCACGCCUCACUCGCACUGCCGUGCUGUCUAAGGAAGCUUCAUCACACCUAGAAUCAGUCCCCAGCACGCAUUUGUGGGAAGGGUGUGAAGUGGGCCCCACCUGGCUAGAACAGGGAGCUCCGGGUUCCUGCACCAACCUCCACGCAGCCCGGGGCGCUCCCUGCACCCCUGGACCCUGCGGGCCUGUCCAGCAUCUCGCCUCCCUCUGUCCACACAUGGGGAACCCCAGAGCAGGUGAGUGAACGCCCUGGGAACCACUGCCUGAGUCACAAGGAAUGGAAUGGGGCUGAGACACGCCUUUCCUCCUCCCCUCUCUUCCCUGCCAGCCUCCUGAUCCCCAUCUCAAAUGAGCUCCUGGCCCAAGAAUCCCGGUGUCAGGGUUCCCUGGCGGGUGGGGCAGGCUGACCACACCAGGAGCUGCAGAGGGGGCUGCCCUCCUGCCUGCCCUCCCUCAGGCAGCUCCAGGAGGAGGCAAGUGUGGCUGAGGCCACCUGCCACCACCCCACGGUGAAACGCGGCCCCACUGGGCAGCCCUGAGCGCCCGGCUUCUGCAGGACAAUGCCACCAGGGGCCCUCCCAGGGAGCAUCCUGUCGCGGGCUGGGCUCUGCGGACAGAGACGCAGGAGGGGCUGGCCAAGCCUGCCAGUCGCUCCCAGGCCCAGAGGCCAAGCUCAGCCAAACUUUAUCCGAGCAACAAUGCCAAUUAAUCUGGCGCUUGUCGCGGCUACUCCCUCAGGGCAGGUGUGAGGGUCAGCGACCAAGCUCCAUCCUGAGUGGCACUGAGGCAAAGCCGUGGCGGCCAGGGCCCGGCUCCUGAUUCACCCGCUCUUGCAGCCUGGGGGCGACAGGAUGGGAGGUGCGCAGGCCACGGAUGGAACGGGAAUGCCCUUCGCUUCAGACACAAGCGACACCCAGCUCAGCAGUGACUGAGGCCACAGCAGGUGGGACCAGGGCUGGCAGGGCCUGACACAGGGCGCCUCUGCUGCGUGAGCCAUGGUGCCUCAGCCCAGCUUCCGUGAUCCCCAGAUGCAGCUAUGGCAGGAGUGCCCCAAGCCUGGGGCUAGGCCCUGGGAAGGAUGCCCGCAGCCAAAAGUAGGGGAGGGGGAGAGACACAGAGAGAUAGAGAAAGACAGAGAGAGAUACAGAGAGAUUGAGAGAAGGAGAGAGGGAGAGACAGAGAGAGACAGGAGAGACAGAGGAGGAGAGACAGGGAAGACAGAGGAGGCAGGAGGGCCCCACAGGUGGGGGCUCCUGACUGCUCCACUUUCCCACAGCAGACCUUUGCGCGUUUCUCCCAGGAGCCCGCAGCUCGUGGGGGCAGUCCCCGGCCAGCACGGGGGAGCGCUCACUUUCCCGGCCAGCGUGGGGGGCGGUCACUUCCCCGGCGGGCGUGGGGGGCGGUCACUUCCCUGGCGGGCGUGGGGGCCGCUCACUUCCCCGGCCGGCGUGGGGGGCAGUCACUUCCCUGGCCAGUGUGGGGGGCGGUCACUUCCUCGGCGGGCGUCGGGGGAUGGGGGGCAGUCACUCACUCACUUUCUGGGCCGGUAGUCGGGGAUGCUCCGAUCGAGGGAGAUGCGGUCGCUGAGCUGAGCGUUGUAGCCGUACUCCUCAUACUUGCCUUCCGCCUCCUGGCCGUCAUCACGCAGGGUGGCCGCCAAGCCACCCUGGCCCAGGCCUCCUGGCCCCUCCACCAGGCCGAUGGGCUUGGCAAGGCCUGGGGGAAAGGAAGAGAGGGAGGUCAGGCAGGCCCAGGACACGCUGCGUCUGCACCCAGGAGACGCCCCUCCCGCCCCUCUCCCCGACGGCCGCUUCCCCCGGUACAAGCCCAGCAAACUCCCUGCAGAUGGCAGGCUGCCAGCUCAGGACAUUCCAGAAAGUGCAAGGCUGUGCGCGGAGUGAGAGGGCGGUGCCAGGCGGAAGAGGGAGGGAUGAAUGGGUGGUACAUGAGGCGUUGAAGGCAGUGGACUCUGUGUGAUGCUGCAAUGGUGGAUAUCUGUUAUUAUUAUGUAUUUUUUGAUUCAGGGUCUUGCUCUGUCACCCAGGCUGCAGUGCAGUGGCAUGAUCUCAGCUCACUGCAGCCUGGACCUCCCAGGCUCAAGCAAUCCUCCCACCUCAGCCUCCUGAGUAAAUGGGUGGGCCUCCACAACUGGCAAAUUUUUGUAUUUUUAGUGGAGACAGGGUUUCACCGUGUUGGUCAGGCUGGUCUUGAACUCCUGACCUCAAGCGAUCCACCUACCUAGGCCUCCCAAAGUGCUGGGAUUACAGGCGUGAGUCACUGCACUGGCCAAUACUUGUUCUUACGCAAUUGUCCAAACGCACAGCAGGUGU